rnacentral:rRNA from 1 species
UACGUAGGGGGCAAGCGUUGUCCGGAAUCAUUGGGCGUAAAGCGCGUGUAGGCGGCUCGAUAAGUCUGCUGUGAAAGUCCAGGGCUCAACCCUGUGAUGCCGGUGGAUACUGUCGAGCUCGAGUCCGGAAGAGGCGAGUGGAAUUCCUGGUGUAGCGGUGAAAUGCGCAGAUAUCAGGAGGAACACCAAUGGCGAAGGCAGCUCGCUGGGACGUGACUGACGCUGAGACGCGAAAGCGUGGGGAGCAAACAGG